rnacentral:rRNA from 1 species
UACGUAGGGUGCGAGCGUUGUCCGGAAUUAUUGGGCGUAAAGAGCUCGUAGGCGGUCUGUCGCGUCGGUCGUGAAAACUUGGGGCUUAACCCUGAGCUUGCGGUCGAUACGGGCAUGACUGGAGUUCGGCAGGGGAGACUGGAAUUCCUGGUGUAGCGGUGAAAUGCGCAGAUAUCAGGAGGAACACCGGUGGCGAAGGCGGGUCCCUGGGCCGAUACUGACGCUGAGGGGCGAAAGCGUGGGGAGCGAACAGG